GCUCAAAGGAGAGAGCUGCUUGCAAUCUUUCACCUGGUUUUGUUUUCCCCCAUGCACAGCAAUAAAAACCCCCGAUCUGCUUAUUCUCUACCUCUAGGCAAACGUCUUCAGUUACCUAUGGGAAGGGUCUCUUUAUUUCUUUUCCCCUGUCUGCUGCUCCUUCUCCUCCCUUCUGGCCAUCUCUUUGCCUUGGCUGCUUGAAUGUUUGCUCUCUCACUGUGCUGGCUCUCCACCUUUCCCCCCUGGGACAUUUCUUUUGGCUUGGUUUCCCUUUAGAGAAUCAUAACAUGUAGCUUCCGUUCCUGACUUUGCAGCUCCUGGUUACUCAGCUUCUGUGGUGCAGUGUCUAUCUGUGAAUGACCCUCCUCCCUUCUUCCCUGGCCUUUUCAACUCCCCUGUGUGAAUCACCCUGACUGAGGAGGGGGGGAGAAAGGAAGACCUUGGCAUUACUAACCCUUUAUGGAGAAUGUCACCAUUAUCCCAACCCAGUGGUGAGAGGAUGAAGAUCCAGUCAUCUGGCGAGUCAGGAUCCAAUCAGCUAACAGGCCAGAGCCCCACCCUCCAGGAUGCUCAGGACUUCCACGGGGCCAAGAGAACGGAUACACUAUGCAGGAGGUGGUCACUCCCUGGAAAUGGUCCCUGGCUCCCGGCUUGGCGACUUCUCCGCUUCCAGCCGCUUCUUCCAGGAGGAGGCCACGAUGCCGUCCUAGGGUGCUAACUGCUGUGCUCACAUUCUGCCGCCCCUUCUCCUCCUCUUUGGAUGGCAAUCACAG
rnacentral:lncRNA from 1 species